AUUGAACGCUGGCGGCAGGCUUAACACAUGCAAGUCGAACGAGAGGCGGACGGGUGGGUGAUGUCGGGGAAACUGGCUGAUGGAGGGGGAUAACUACUGGAACCGGUAGCUAAAACCGCAUACCAUCAGAUGGGCGCUGAUGGGAUUAGCUAUCAGGUUGGGUAAUGGCGCACCUAGGCGACGAGCCCUAGCUGGUCUGAGAGGAUGCCCAGCCACACUGGAGCUGAGCCAGUGUCCAGACUCCUCAGAGAGGCACCAGUUUGGAAUAUUGCACAAUGGGCGCGAGCCUGAGGCAGCCAUGCCGCGUGUGUGAAGGAGGCCUUCGGGGCGUAAAGCACUUUCAGCGAGGAGGCGUUACUCGCAGAAGAAGCACCGGCUAACUCCGUGCCAGCAGCCGCGGUAAUAC
rnacentral:rRNA from 1 species